CCGAACCCGAGCUUCCCCGAUCUCCCCUCUUCCUCUCUCUGUUCUCUCGCGGACGAGCGACGCCGAAGCAAGCCGAGAGCUCCGGUGAUCUCCUUCGGCCGGCAUCGACGCCUAGUAAGCCCAGAUCCAGCCGAGGCCCUUCUCCUUCUAGCUCUGAUCUCUUCUCCUCGUCGCUGGUUCUCUCACGGGGACGAACCGACGCUAUUGGAUCGGGCCAGAUCUACUCGAUCGCCGGCGUGGAGGAGGCAGUUAGGGCUUCGGUGGUUACGGAGUUGGAGGCAUUGGGGAUCAGUGAGAAGAAUUCCUGGUACGUUGCUUCACGGAUCGGAUGGGGCGACGUUUUCUGGAGACGAUCGAUUGAGGUUUCGGUUGAUGGUGAUGGGAUCAAUUGAGUUGUUGGGCAGAGGAUUGAAGGGUUGAUUGAUGUCCUGGAUUGCUUGAUUUGAGAUCAGUGAUCUGCUUGUUGAUCUCUUCUCUUGAUCCGAUCAGUGAGGUGAGUUUUGUUGCUGUGAGGCUGGGAUUGUGAUCUUUGAGGUGUAUCCAGCAGCUUUCCCUAACCGGCAGCAACCCCUUUGAUUGUGAUCUAUUGGUGAUCACCUUGGAUUUGAGGAGUCUGAUUUGAGACAGGCGUCUCGACGUUGACUUCGGAGUUGGAUUGUACCUUCUAUUUGAGGCGGGUACCCUUUGACUUAUCUUGUUGAUAUUGUCUUGUGAUAUGUGCAGUUUAUAUAUGUUUACUAGUAAUUGGUAGAUCUUUUUCUUCUCUGGUUAUAGUAUUCUAUACCUGUAGGCGAUUAUUAGCGAUUGGUAGUUAGCAUAUUCCCUGGUUUAGUUAUUUGAUACUUGAUACAUGUUGCUACGAUUAGCAUCUAUACCUUAGUCUAGCAUGCUUUUCUUUCUUGCUAUGCUUAUCUAUGUUCGUAGAGAUGCAUAUCUAUAAUGCCCUACUCUACUGGAUUAGUUGCUUUACAUGUGUGAUACAUGCUCUUGGAUUCAUGAUACUUACAUC